rnacentral:rRNA from 1 species
GACGGAGGAUGCAAGCGUUAUCCGGAAUUAUUGGGCGUAAAGCGUCCGCAGGUGGCUGUUCAAGUCUGCUGUCAAAGCGCAGAGCUUAACUCUGUACAGGCGGUGGAAACUGAAGAGCUAGAGUAUGGUAGGGGUAGAGGGAAUUCCCGGUGUAGCGGUGAAAUGCGUAGAUAUCGGGAAGAACACCAGUGGCGAAAGCGGGUCUCUGGGCCGAUACUGACGCUGAGGAGCGAAAGCGUGGGGAGCAAACAGG